ensembl:lncRNA
GGGUACCGGUACAGAGUCAAUGUGGAGGCUAUAUACAGGGUAUUACGGUACAGAGUCAAUGUGGAGGCUAUAUACAGGGGUACCGGUACAGAGUCAAUGUGGAGGCUAUAUACAGGGGUACCGGUACAGAGUCAAUGUGGAGGCUAUAUACAGGGUAUUACGGUACAGAGUCAAUGUGGAGGCUAUAUACAGGGUAUUACGGUACAGAGUCAAUGAGGAGGCUAUAUACAGGGGUUACGGUACAGAGUCAAUGUGGAGGCUAUAUACAGGGUGUUACGGUACAGAGUCAAUGUGGAGACCAUAUACAGGGGGUUACGGUACAGAGUCAAUGUGGAGGCUAUAUACAGGGGGUACCGGUACUAUGUCAAAGUGGAGGCUAUAUACAGGGGGUACCAGUACAGAGUCAAUGUGGAGACUAUAUACAGGGGGUACCGGUACAGAGUCACUGUGGAGGCUAUAUACAGGGUGUUACGGUACAGAGUCAAUGUGGAGACCAUAUACAGGGGGUACUGGUACUAUGUCAAUGUGGAGGCUAUAUACAGGGUGUUACAGUACAGAGUCAAUGUGGAGACUAUAUACAGGGGGUACCGGUACAGAGUCACUGUGGAGGCUAUAUACAGGGUGUUACGGUACAGAGUCAAUGUGGAGACCAUAUACAGGGGGUACUGGUACUAUGUCAAUGUGGAGGCUAUAUACAGGGGGUACCGAAACUAUGUCAAAGUGGAGGCUAUAUACAGGGGGUACCGGUACAGAGUCAAUGUGGAUGCUAUAUACAGGGGGUACCGGUACUAUGUCAAAGUGGAGGCUAUAUACAGGGGGUACCGGUACAGAGUCAAUGUGGAGACUAUAUACAGGGGGUACCGGUACUAUGUCAAUGUGGAGGCUAUAUACAGGGGGUACCAGUACAGAGUCAAUGUGGAGGCUAUAUACAGGGGGUAACGGUACAGAGUCAAUGUGGGGACUAUAUACAGGGGGGUACCGGUACAGAGUCAAUGUGGAGACUACAGUAUCAUGCCAGGUUUCAUGUGGACCCCAGGAAGAGUAGCUGACGCUUUGGCAGCGGCCAAUGGGGAUCCUAAUAAAUACCAAAAUACCAAUCAGAUGAGGGAGUGUCAUGACAGUCACAAUGUCACGACUUCUGCCGAAGUUGGUCCCUCUCCUUGUUCGGGCGGCGUUCGGCGGUCGACGCCAUCGGUCUUCUAGCCAUCGCCGCUCCACCUUUCAUUUUCCAUUUGUUUUGUCUUGUUUCCCCGCACUCCUGGUUCGCAUUCCCCCAUCAGACUAAAUGUAUAUUACCCUCUGUUUCCCCCAUGUCUGUGUGUGGAAUUGUUCUUUGUGCAGGGUGUUAUGCUACAGGCUGUCUUGC